rnacentral:rRNA from 1 species
UACGUAUGGUGCAAGCGUUAUCCGGAUUUACUGGGUGUAAAGGGAGCGUAGGCGGCGCGUUAAGUCUGAUGUGAAAAUCCGAGGCUCAACCACGGGAGUGCAUUGGAAACUGGCGUGCUGGAGUGCCGGAGAGGUAAGCGGAAUUCCUAGUGUAGCGGUGAAAUGCGUAGAUAUUAGGAGGAACACCAGUGGCGAAGGCGGCUUACUGGACGGCAACUGACGCUGAGGCUCGAAAGCGUGGGGAGCAAACAGG